rnacentral:misc_RNA from 1 species
AAGUCGUAACAAGGUUUCCGUAGGUGAACCUGCGGAAGGAUCAUUAGAGAAUUGUACCAAAACAAUAUGGACAAUCCAUCCAUAUUAUCCCACCUUGUGUGCAUCCAUUGAAACCAUGCUUUGGGAGGUCUCUCUUUAAAAAAAAUGAAGAGGGAUUUUAAGCCUCCCAAGGUUUUCCCUUGUACACACUCUUUUUUCUUGUUUCUCCUGAAAAAAUAAAAUAAAAUAAAAUAAGACGAAAUAAAAAAAUACAACUUUCAACAACGGAUCUCUUGGCUCUC